ensembl:miRNA MIR891B microRNA 891b
CCUUAAUCCUUGCAACUUACCUGAGUCAUUGAUUCAGUAAAACAUUCAAUGGCACAUGUUUGUUGUUAGGGUCAAAAGA